rnacentral:rRNA from 1 species
CGUGCAGGCGGUUAGAUAAGUCACUUGUGAAAGCGCCCGGCUCAACUGGGCGAGGCCGUGUGAGACUGUCUGACUUGAGAGAGGUAGAGGCGAAUGGAAUUCCGGGUGGAGUGGUGAAAUGCGUAGAGAUCCGGAGGAACACCAGUGGCGAAGGCGAUUCGCUGGGCCUUCUCUGACGCUCAGACGCGACAGCAUGGGGAGCGAACGGGAUUAGAAACCCCGGUAGUCCAUGCCGUAAACGAUGCACACUAAGUGCCUGCCUGUAACAGGGUGGGUGCUGGAGCAAACGCGCUAAGUGUGCCGCCUGGGGAGUACGGUCGCAAGGCUAAA